UAAUAAGAGGCGCCAAUCAGAUUCAGGUCUUGGACCCAGUCGGCUAAUCUCUUCUAGGGGCGUUUUGGUCGUCUUCUAGGGUUUUAACAUCACAUAGCCGUACUUCCAAGCUCCAUCCUCACGAAACUCAUUAAUAUAGUCAAAAAGGUCAAAAUAAUACCCUCAGAAUCUCUCCCCUAUGUUCUUUAUAUGCUGCAUUUUGCAUUUCUUGGUAUUAUAUACUGGAAAUGUUAUGGAUAUGGUUCUCCACUGGAAGAAUUGCUUCACAUCGAAUGCUCAAAAUGAAAUCUUUAGCCUCAUUCCAAUGUCUAUGCUCACAAAUUUAAUACUUUGCUCAUGUCCCACAAGGUUCUUUUCCUCUAGACAUUACCAGAAGUUUCCAGAUAGUUCCAUUGAAUGUUUUUCUGAUGACCCACAAAGUUAUUUUUCCUCAAGAAUCAUUCUUACCCCUAGAAUUGUACAUAAAACUAUAUCAAAUUGUCGUUCUGACAUUCUUGCAUUUUUGUUUUUCUUAUGGUGUGCAAAACAACAUAAGUACUUUCAUGACAGGGCCACUUUGACCCAUAUGAUUAGUAUUGUUUCUCGGUUGACGCAGAGGUUAGAACAGUGAAAGGGAUAGUUAAGGAAUUGGAAGAGGUUGGUUGUGUAAUAAAGCUACAAACUUUGAUGUUUUUGUUGAGAAUUUAUUGGUUUGGUGGAAUGUAUGAUAGGGUUUUCGAGAUGUUUGAGGAAAUAUUGGGUUGUGGUUCUACUCCAAAUACUUUCUCUAGGAACAUCGUAAUGGAUGUAUUGUUCAAGAUUGAGCGUGUCGAAGUGGCACUUAGAGUUUUGAAAGAAACCCAGGUUCCAAAUUUUUUAACUUAUAGCAUUGAUGUGUGCAACUUGUGUAAGCUCAAUGAUUUGGUUAAUCUUCAGGAUGUGCUUAAUAUUAUGUUGAGGAAAAGCUAUUAUCCUAUCGAGGAGACAUUUUCUGUGAUUUGAGUUGUUACUGUAAAGGAGGUCUAAUAACAGAGGCAAAACAAAUAUUAGGUCUAAUGAUAGUUUUCGGUGUUCCUGUAUCAGAUAGAGUUUGGGGUAUAUUAAUAGAUGGAUACUGUAAAGCUGGCAACAUGGAUGCUGCAACUUGCUUGGGAAGAUGGUAGAGAGUAGGUAUUCGCCAAAUGUUGUAACUUGGACGUUGUUGAUCAAGGGAUUUUUUGAGUCCCAGAUGCCAAGCAAGGCAUUUGGGAUCUUGGAUACCAUGGAAUCAAGAGGAUGCUUCCCUGAUUUGGUUCUUUGUAACGUGUUAAUAGAUAGCCUCUCUAAAAUGGGGAGGUAUGAAGAUGCAAUCAAUGCUUUCUUCCUUUUGCGGGAGCAAGGACUAACACCCGAUUCUUAUACUCUUUAUUCUUUGAUUACAACUGUCUAUCUCUCUAAGCAAUAUGUCGAAUUACCUCUGCUCAUAACUGGCUUCGAGAUUCAACCUGAUUUAGUUGCAUGUAACUCUUUCCUUAGCUAUUUCUGCAAAGCUGGUUAUCCUGCUGUGCUAUUGAAUUUUACAAUGAUAUGAUAGAUAGAGGUUUCAUAGCAGAUAAGUAUACCUUUUGCCAGAUUACUGACUGGAUUAUGCAGCUCAGGUAGGAUAGGAGAGGCAGUCAAGGUGUACCGUGGACUUGUUAGAAGUCACGUUGGGCUUGAUUCUCAUAUAAUUACUAUGAUAAUAAAUGGGCUAAUAAAAUCUGGUAAGUUUUACAAAGCUGUUAGCUUAAUCAAGAAAGCUGCUUCAGAGAAGUCCCAACUAGAUGAUGUUUCUUACACUAUUCCCAUUAGUGGACUACUUACUGGUGGUCAAGUUGGAGAAGCAUAUGCCUUGUUCCGCCAAAUGAAGGAGGUUGGUCUAGCACCAACUAAACAGACCUAUAAUCAGAUUCUCUCAGGUUUUUGUAAAAGAAGUGAUGUUUGAAUGGUUAAAGAGAUCCUACUUGAAAUGGUUGAUGCUAGUAUUGAAGUUGACCUUUUUAAUCUGAGGUUGAUGAAAAAUCUCCUUUAUAGAUCCCACCGCCAUUCUGCUUCACUCUUAACUCUAUUAACUAACAUUUCAAAUUUCGGAAUCCUUCCAAGGGAAGCAUACAAUGAAAUGAUCAAUGAGCUGGUUCAUCAUAUAAACAUCAGAAAUGUGCAUGCGGGCACGUGUAAUAACCUUGAUGUUGGCACAUCUAGCUCAGAUGAAACCCAGGAGUUGGCUGUUGCAAUCGGUUGAGAUGACUUGAUUUGGCAGUUUAUUCUAUGUAUAGCAAAGUGCACUUCUUCAGUUCAUCAAGAAUCAGAGCUUACUCUCUCGGAAUAUCUAAGAUGAUGAGUGAUCUAAGAAUGAGGAUUCCAUAAAGUGCCAGGUAUCUGGUGAAAGCACCAGGGAUAUGACUUACGAGUGUAAAGCUGGAUUAGGUCACUAGGCGGAUGCUUCUUUUGUCUUCCUGGAGGAGGAUAUCGAACCAUGUAAGAGUUGCUGGAAGUGAUAUUACAGGAACAUAAAUCCACAAAAUAUGGUUAGUAAAGCUAAUUGCUGAGUGAUACUAUAAUACCUUACUUGCUUGUUAUUUGUCAAAUGGUGUUAAAGAAGAUUUCAUGUAGCCUGUUGCUCGGUCUGAUUGUUCUUGCUGCUCUAAUGAGUUGCAGCAAUACACUCUUCAGAAGACGGCGUUGCAAUAUGGAGGUACUGGUUUAUCCAACCGGGAUUGUAGCAGAUAUAAAACACAUGUCCUGCUAGGCCAAUCUCCCUAGCAUCGUUAUUAAAAGCCAUCGCUUCACCGCUUAAAGCAAUGAUGGAUUCGAAACGUGGGAUUACCACUUCACAGGUGAAGCCAUGCACUUCAUAGAAAUAUGUGCUUCAAAGAAUGACACACAAACUAAUCCCAACGAGAAACGACAUGUUCUUUGAAUCUUAACUUUGAGGAUCUGGAUCAAUAUCAGCAUCGAAUACUGAAAUUAGUUAUUGCAAUUGUAAUUUUGAUAAGUAUAGUACUAAAUCACUUUAUGUUUGCUACUUUUUUGUCCUGGAUGUGCGCUUCACUUGCCGCUUUUCGCAUCAAGCCCUAAGAACCUUGUCGGUUUUUUUUUUGGCAUUUGAACUUUUGGAUGAGAAAUCCACUGUCUCCUCAUGUCAUUGUUUGCUA